rnacentral:rRNA from 1 species
UACGUAGGGUGCGAGCGUUAAUCGGAAUUACUGGGCGUAAAGCGUGCGCAGGCGGUCCGCAAAGUCUGAUGUGAAAGCCCCGGGCUCAACCUGGGAACUGCAUUGGAAACUAACGGGCUCGAGUGUGGCAGAGGGGGGUGGAAUUCCACGUGUAGCAGUGAAAUGCGUAGAGAUGCGGAGGAACACCGAUGGCGAAGGCAGCCCCCUGGGCUAACACUGACACUCAUGCACGAAAGCGUGGGGAGCAAACAGG